rnacentral:lncRNA from 1 species
UGACAUAUACUGCUGGAACUAAAGCAUGAAGUACUGCUGCUUAUCGUCCAGCUGCUGCUUGCCGUUGCCGUUGCCGUUGCCGCCGCCUCUCCUGCCGCGGUGGUCGAGGCCGCCACGCCCACGCGCCGCCGCGGACACCGACGACGACGAGGCGGAGGGCGAGGUGGUGGUGGGCGCGCGGAAGCCGAUGUUCUCGACGGCGCCGACGGUGUUGAAGAAGAGGCGGCGGUUGAGCUCCUCCACCAGCGUCCGGUGCAGCAGCUGGCUCCGCAUGUCCACCAUCGACCGGUUCCGCGUCAUCCUCCUCCGCCGGCUGGUCCCGGUCCCGUCGUCGUCGUCCUCCCGCCGCCGCGGCCGCCCCGCGUGCUGCGGCGACACCGACAUGCUGCACUGCCGCUGCAGCUGCCGCGCGAGCUGCGCGGCGGCGGAGCUGCUGCCCCCGCCGCCGCCGCCGCCGAACCUUGUCUUGGACGAGCCGGUGCCGGUGCAGCAGGUGGGCAUGGGCUCCUCCGCCUCGUCGGCACCUGAGGCGUAAUGGAGAGGAGAGUACUUACCGGAGUGCACGGAGCUCAUGUCAUCGUCGUUGUC